rnacentral:rRNA from 1 species
ACGCUCGACACCUACGGGAGCAGCAGUAGGGAAUCUUCCACAAUGGACGCAAGUCUGAUGGAGCAACGCCGCGUGAGUGAAGAAGGUUUUCGGAUCGUAAAGCUCUGUUGUUGGUGAAGAAGGAUAGAGGUAGUAACUGGCCUUUAUUUGACGGUAAUCAACCAGAAAGUCACGGCUAACUACGUGCCCGCAGCCGCGGUAAUCUGAGCGGGCUGGCAAGGC